AAAGAAAGAAAAAAGAAAUAAGUCUUGAAGAAGACUAAUAUUGCCAACACAAUUUAACUGCCAUUUGUACCAGUGUUUAGAUUUUUUUCACGUUCCCACAUUGUAUAUUUUUACCUAUUGCAAUCGGAACAAUAUGAUCUACAUCAUUUUCGUUUCUUCAUUUUCGUAAGGUCUUCUUUUGAGGAGCGUAGACUUUUAAGAUAGAAAUCAGUAUCGUGUUUGCUUUAUAGAUUUUUAUGACACUGAACAAAUGAUAAUUGUAAAAUUUAAGCUGUGUUGUAAAAUAUCCAUAAAAUGAACUAAAAGAUAGGAAAUGACAUUUCUUCUUCCAGUUUGCUCCCCAUUUAAUCACUUUACAGUGUGGUAGCUAUCUUUCUACAGAUUUGGAAUGGAUCUUGUAAUAGCAUGGAUAAAAAUUCCAUGUGCAAAUAAGUCCAAAUAAUCCUCUUUGGGAGUUAAAAAAAAUUCAUGUAUAAUAUAUACAUCUAAAAUAACUUGUAAGUUAUUGUUUUAGUUUUUAACACACGAUGGUAGAGAAUGAAACUGUUACCCCACCAUUGUAACUAUAUCAAUAGAUAAAAUAGUAAGGUGCCUGUCUCCAAAAAGGCAAUCAGUACAUAUUUUUGGAUAAAUGAAUGAGAUCCUCAUUGAGACUUUCUGGGCAUAUAGGAUAAAAUAAAGAAAAUUAUUGAAGUUACUUAAUAGUUGAAAAACAUUUCCAGAUAGCCAAAAUUACCUCAAGUGCUAAUGGUACUUUGUGACAUGCUAAGUACGCCAUUGCUGGAAGUAUUUAAGAAAAUGUUGUAUGGACAUCUUUCAGUAAUGCCUGUGUUAGGUGUGUACAUAGAUUUAUAAUAGGCUCUGGUUCUACAAAAUAAUCAACCAAAAUAGCAGGUAAGCAAGUAGUCCAUCAUUCCUUCUGUAUCUUACCAUUAAAUUAGGAAAAGUUUAAGGAUCAGAGUUUUGUUUUUGUUUUUUAAGUUAGCGAGAGCAUUGUUUCCCGAAGUGUGUCUUGUGGAACAUUACCUGUGAGAUACUCUGAGAAAAAGUUCCCUCGAUCAUAUUCAUUCUCAGAUUCUCCAUACUACGAAUAUUCUUUCUCAGGUACCUGUAAUGCAUAUUAAUAUAUUGAAAGAGCUAUUUGACAAAGAUACCCCUUUUUCCAGUUAUCCCCAUUAUCCUGAAAAACCAGUGUUUCAGGGAAAUACAGUGUUCUAUAGAACAGAACCCAUUUUGUCCAAAAUGAUCUACAGACAAGCAGCAGUCUAAGGGAACAUCUGUUUUUAGCUGGUUCUUUAACUUAUACAUGGUCCAGAGAUUCUCCAGACUAGGAGUGACUGACCAUAUUCUUAGAACCAAACCACCUGAAUUCUAUAUUCUCUCACUCCCUUACCUCUACCUCUUUUCCUUGUCAGAGCACAGUGCCCUCCUACUCUACUGACUCUCCUGUGCGCUUCUUACUUCCAUUCCUAUCCAAAGAAACGGGACCCCAUUUACUCAGGCAAUGAUCUUUUAUUGGUCGCUCACUAGAUGCCAGAUCUUCUGCCGAGCACUGGGGUGUAGCAGUGAGCCAAACAAACAUGGCCCUUACUGUGUUCUCUCUUCUGUGCUUCACCCCAGGAGGAAGAACCCCAAAGUCUCAUGUGCCAAAGCUUAACUCUCUAGCACUUGAGCUCUCUAUGUCCUGGGUUUGGAAGCAACUCGAGGACCUUAGGGUAGUGGCUGAAAGGGACAGAGGAAAGAACUUGUAGAUGACCACAUGACAAAGAACAGUUACAGGCUGUAGUGGGGGAAGAAGCACAGGAACUGUUGGGAGUCAAAUCAUUAUUUUUGUUAUUUUCAUUUUAUGAUUAAAAGAAUGAAACUGGGUAUCUUAUCAAAGAAAACUAUCAACAUUGUUGCUGAAUAGGAAUACUGGGGGUUGUUCAGAGCUAGGAGAAACAAAGCUAAGAAUUGGUUUGACCAGUUUAAAGAGCAGUGUUUAUGGUAGUUAUUUGUAUGAAGUGUUCAAUUAUACUGUAGCACUAGGUGUGUUCAUCUCUCAUGAUUUUGUCUUUGUGUUACAAGGUUGUCAGCUAAUAGAAGGUUGAUUUUUAGAGCUUAAAAGGACCUUGAAGAGAUUACAUGGCAGAGCCUGCUCACAAUUUAAAAUUUGGAGGAAGAAGCCUAAGGCAUCUGGGAGUAGUAACCUUAUUAGGCUUUCACUUUGGAUUUUUCUAGUAGCUUCCGAAGGUAGGUGCUUAAGUCAAUGCUGCUAUUAUAUUCACAGGAUUUUGUUAAGCUCUCAAGGAGGUGUAGAUUCAGAAGGAACUGGAAAAAUCUUUUAAAAAUAUUCUUGAUACAGAGCCUUUGAGGGAGAUGCAAAUGUGUUUUGAAUGUUAAAUUUACUUAGAUUUAAAAAUACAUAUCUUCAAGCAAAGUUGCCAUGACAACCUUUCUUAAUGUGUGUAUAAAAUUUAUGUCUGUCUCUUUGAGGUUUUCAUCUUUCCCAAUACAAGGUUUAAUCACAAGAAUGGGCACUGUGAUAUAUUUCUAUCUAGAUAGUGCCUUGUGGGAGUUAUAUAAUUUUGGAAAAUGAAAAUCAAGAACUAGAACAGUCUUUAUCAUGGUGAGCCCACUAAGGUAAAUGUCAUCUUGUUCUCUCCGUGAUCGGAGUUUGAUCUGGUUUCAAACCCAAGGUGAAAUUCUGGAUUGAAGUAGAACCAUGAGUCUAUUCUGAGUUUCUGUUUUUUCAUAUUUAGAGGAUCUGGUAGGAAGGCCCUAGGAAGUUGGGGAAAUUCUGGACUGAAUCUUUUGGAUAGUCCUCAAACUGAUCCAGUCUUCUUGGGAUCAUCUAAAGCUUAUCCACAGUUGAUGUCUAGGCUAACUCAGAACCACAAGAGAAGGCUCUACAAUGGCCAGGCAUGUGCACAGAGACACCCCAGAGGCUCCUUUUGGUCCGAACUCCAAUCCAGCAAUGCUAGAGAGAUGCCAUAAUCAGACCUGUUCACUUCCCAUACUCUUGGUCUGGCUCUCUUUUGCACAUCAUAGGAUUUUGGAGACCCAAAGUUUAGGAGGAAGGAACUCUCAACCUUGACUCUGGAGAUGUGAAUUUAUUAAGCAGUGGAAUAAAGGAGUAGUCACUAGUACCUUUUACUAACAGUAUCUAUGACUUGAAUUUAAGAACUCAACGUGGCUGCCUGAGAUUUUGAGAUGCUUGCUAAAGAGCUAUGUUUGUUUGUGUUUUAUAUUUUAGUUCCUCUGGGGUACAGUCUUUUUAAAAUUAACAUUUUGUUAUAAUUUAAGAAUCCUUAGAGAUAAUUAAGUUGAGGUUAGGAGUAUGAUCUAUUACUGUGCUUGCUUUGAUAUUCUUUGUCCUAAUAGACUUUGUAAAACUAUGUUACAUUUAAGAGAAUCCAUGAAUCCAUUAGAAUCGGAUUCUAAUCUAAUCCGAUUAUAAUGGGGGGAAAUUAGGAGUUCCCUAGUGGUGCAGCAGGUUAAGGAUCCAGCAUUGUCACUGCUGUGGCUUGGUCACUGCUGCGGCAUGAGUCUGAUCCCUGGCCCAGGAACUUCCCCAUGCUGUGGGCAUGCCCCUUCUGCCCAGGAAAAAUUAAAAAAUAAAAAAUAAAGGGGAAAUUAAAGCUGAGAGAGGUUAUUUAUUAUGGGAGAUUGCCCAGGCUCAUAGAGGUUUUGUUUUUUAUUCAGAAUGUGAUUUCCUUUUGCUUUCAUCUUAUUCUCUAAAGGAUGAGUUUAAAACCAAGGAAAGGGCCCCUAAGCAAAAAGAACUGCCUAGGGAGUUCCCAUCGUGGCUCAGUGGUUAACGAACCCGACUAGCAUCCAUGAGGACUCGGGUUCAAUCCCUGGCCUCAUUCAGUGAGUUAAGCAUCUGGUGUUGCCAUGAGCUGUGGUGUAGGUCGCAGACUCAGCUCGGAUUCCGAGUUGCUGUGGCUGUGGCUGUGGCCGGCAGCUGUAGCUCCGAUUGGACCCCUAGCCUGGGAACCUCCAUUUGCCGC
rnacentral:lncRNA from 1 species